rnacentral:lncRNA from 10 species
GGCGCCUGUAAUUUCAGCUACUCCGGGGGCUGAGGCAGGAGAAUCGCUUGAACUCGGGAAGCAGAAGUUGCAGUGAGCCAAGGUCGCACCACUGCACUCCAGCCCAGGCGACAUUGUGAGACUCCAUCUCAAAAAAAAAAAAAAGAAAAAAAGUGUACUAACAAGACCCAGCACACAGAGGAGACUUUUACCAUUGUAUGAACACCCAUCAAACAGUACACAUCAUCAUUGUGAGUUCUGAAUCUCACACAUAGAGGAAGUCAAAGGUGGAAAACUUGACUCUCAUAUUUGGAUCCAGUCCACAGGUUCUGCUAGCAAGGAAGACUGAGACAUAUUGUGGGGCUCUACGCCAAUGUGACAUUACUGUUCUGCCUUGGCCUGUACCUGAAAAGGCAUUGUGACAUAUUGCUGGGCCCAGCAACAAGGUGGCAUGAGUCUUCCGUAUGGACCCUGACAACAGAGCAUUGUGACAUAUCUUUAAGAGCAUCAACUAUUUGAUGUGACUCUCCUUUUCUACCAAGGCUUUCCUCAUAUGAGAGAUUGUGACACAU